UUAAAUUGAAGAGUUUGAUCAUGGCUCAGAUUGAACGCUGGCGGCAGGCUUAACACAUGCAAGUCGAACGGUAACGGGUUGAAAGCUUGCUUUCAAUGCUGACGAGUGGCGGACGGGUGAGUAAGGCUUGGGGAUCUGGCUUUUGGAGGGGGAUAACCAUUGGAAACGAUGGCUAAUACCGCAUAGUAUCGAGAGAUGAAAGGGGUGGGAAACCACUUGCCAAGGGAUGAACCCAAGUGAGAUUAGGUAGUUGGUGGGGUAAAGGCCUACCAAGCCGACGAUCUCUAGCUGGUCUGAGAGGAUGGCCAGCCACACUGGGACUGAGACACGGCCCAGACUCCUACGGGAGGCAGCAGUGGGGAAUAUUGCGCAAUGGGGGGAACCCUGACGCAGCCAUGCCGCGUGAAUGAAGAAGGCCUUCGGGUUGUAAAGUUCUUUCGGUGGUGAGGAAGGUUAGGAUGUUAAUAGCAUACUGAUUUGACGUUAGCCACAGAAGAAGCACCGGCUAACUCCGUGCCAGCAGCCGCGGUAAUACGGAGGGUGCGAGCGUUAAUCGGAAUAACUGGGCGUAAAGGGCACGCAGGCGGGACGUUAAGUGAGAUGUGAAAGCCCCGGGCUUAACCUGGGAACAGCAUUUCAUACUGGCGUACUAGAGUACUUUAGGGAGGGGUAGAAUUCCACGUGUAGCGGUGAAAUGCGUAGAGAUGUGGAGGAAUACCGAAGGCGAAGGCAGCCCCUUGGGAAGAUACUGACGCUCAUGUGCGAAAGCGUGGGGAGCAAACAGGAUUAGAUACCCUGGUAGUCCACGCUGUAAACGCUGUCGAUUUGGGGGUUGUACGAAAGGUAUGGCUCUCGAAGCAAACGUGAUAAAUCGACCGCCUGGGGAGUACGGCCGCAAGGUUAAAACUCAAAUGAAUUGACGGGGGCCCGCACAAGCGGUGGAGCAUGUGGUUUAAUUCGAUGCAACGCGAAGAACCUUACCUACUCUUGACAUCCUAAGGAGAAGCUAGAGAUAGCUUUGUGCUUUCGAGAACUUAGAGACAGGUGCUGCAUGGCUGUCGUCAGCUCGUGUUGUGAAAUGUUGGGUUAAGUCCCGCAACGAGCGCAACCCUUAUUCUUUGUUACCAGCGGGUAGAGCCGGGGACUCAAAGGAGACUGCCAGUGACAAGCUGGAGG
rnacentral:rRNA from 1 species